rnacentral:rRNA from 1 species
GAUGAACGCUGGCGGCGUGCCUAAUACAUGCAAGUCGAGCGAACAGACGAGGAGCUUGCUCCUCUGACGUUAGCGGCGGACGGGUGAGUAACACGUGGAUAACCUACCUAUAAGACUGGGAUAACUUCGGGAAACCGGAGCUAAUACCGGAUAAUAUAUUGAACCGCAUGGUUCAAUAGUGAAAGACGGUUUUGCUGUCACUUAUAGAUGGAUCCGCGCCGCAUUAGCUAGUUGGUAAGGUAACGGCUUACCAAGGCGACGAUGCGUAGCCGACCUGCGAGGGUGAUCGGCCACACUGGAACUGAGACACGGUCCAGACUCCUACGGGAGGCGGCAGUAGGGAAUCUUCCGCAAUGGGCGAAAGCCUGACGGAGCAACGCCGCGUGAGUGAUGAAGGUCUUCGGAUCGUAAAACUCUGUUAUUAGGGAAGAACAAAUGUGUAAGUAACUAUGCACGUCUUGACGGUACCUAAUCAGAAAGCCACGGCUAACUACGUG